GGGCCCGCACAAGCGGUGGAGCAUGUGGUUUAAUUCGACGCAACGCGAAGAACCUUACCCAGACUUGACAUGCAUCGGACGCGUGUGGAAACACACGUUCCCUUCGGGGCUGGUGCACAGGUGCUGCAUGGCUGUCGUCAGCUCGUGUCGUGAGAUGUUGGGUUAAGUCCCGCAACGAGCGCAACCCUUGUCCCUAGUUGCUAACGGGUAAUGCUGAGCACUCUAGGGAGACUGCCGGUGGUAAACCGGAGGAAGGUGGGGAUGACGUCAAGUCCUCAUGGCCCUUACGUCUGGGGCUACACACGUGCUACAAUGGCCGGUACAAAGGGUUCCAAGACCGCGAGGUGGAGGCAAUCCCAAAAAACCGGUCUCAGUUCGGAUUGCAGUCUGCAACUCGACUGCAUGAAGUUGGAAUCGCUAGUAAUCGCUGAUCAGCAGGCAGCGGUGAAUACGUUCCCGGGCCUU
rnacentral:rRNA from 1 species